AUGAUUUGAAUAAUACUAGUUAGUGUUUUAAUAGCCUAAACAAACUAUAUAAAUUUUUGCGUGUGUGUGUGUGUGAGAGAGAGAGAGAGAGUGUGUGUGUGUGCGUAUGGUUGCCGACAUCCCAAGGAGGAGGGGGAGUGGAAGAGAUACAGGGAACGGAACCUAGCUUGCGCUUGCCUUGGCCUCUGUUGAGGGGAUAUUUAUUGUUUAUGGGAUUGUUCAUGGACUGCUAAAAAUGUUGGGAAGAGCCUGGGCCUGGCUAUAUGUAGCUCUAGCAGCAAUUAUUUAAAGGUAGUUAUACUGUAUAGGC
rnacentral:lncRNA from 1 species